rnacentral:rRNA from 1 species
CCUACGGGUGGCUGCAGUGAGGAAUAUUGGUCAAUGGGCGCAAGCCUGAACCAGCCAAGUCGCGUGAGGGAUGACGGUCCUAUGGAUUGUAAACCUCUUUUGUCGGGGAGCAAGGCCCGCCACGUGUGGCGGGAAGGAGAGUACCCGAAGAAAAAGCAUCGGCUAACUCCGUGCCAGCAGCCGCGGUAAUACGGAGGAUGCGAGCGUUAAUCGGAAUUACUGGGCGUAAAGCGCUCGUAGGCGGUAUGUCAAGUCAAGGGUGAAAUCCCCGCGCUCAACGUGGGAACUGCCUUUGAAACUGGCAAACUGGAGUGUGUGAGAGGAUAGUGGAAUUCCAGGUGUAGGGGUGAAAUCCGUAGAUAUCUGGAGGAACAUCAGUGGCGAAGGCGACUAUCUGGCACAUAACUGACGCUGAGGAGCGAAAGCGUGGGUAGCAAACAGGAUUAGAUACCCUAGUAGUC